UACCUCUCUUUUUUCGAAACG
ensembl:piRNA 21ur-6114 ncRNA